rfam:Oryza sativa Japonica Group DNA, chromosome 12, cultivar: Nipponbare, complete sequence.
UUUAAGUGCAACCAUAAGUUUUCGUGCCCAACUUUAAUCGUCUGUCUUAUUUAAAAUUUUUUUAUAAUUAGUAUUUUUAUUGUUAUGAGAUGAUAAAACACAAAUAGUACUUUAUGCAUGGCUUAAGUUUUUAAAUUUUUUUAAAAAAUUUUCAAAUAAAACGGACGAUCAAAGUUGGGCAUGAAAAAUUAUAACUACACCUAAA